AGUUGUUUCUGUCCUGGGCUGAAAAUGGCUUCUAUUUUUUAACAAUAUCUGCAGAGUUGUUCUAGAAGAUACAAAGUUGUCCUCCAGAGAAAACAGAACCACAGUAAAUAGCUUACUCCAUUAUCUGUAAACUCUUCAGUGAAAACAAGACUGAAAAACAAAGGAAGAGGCCCAAUUCAAGUUGAUUUUCUGACGAGAAAUCUGGUAUUUGACAGAACCUUGUAGACUAUAAAGCUAUGGGGGAUAUUUAAAGGAUGGAUCUUGAUGUUAACAGAGAACUCUAGAGGAGGCCAGCAGGUUGUUUUGUUUUGUUUUGUUUUUGUUCUUUUUAUUUUAUUUUAUUUUAUUUUACUUUUUUGGAGGCCUGAGCCAUAACAUCAUGAUCUGAUUCUAAAUUUUGCCAACCUUGAGUUAUCUCUUUUUUUCCUGAUAUGUUUCAAUUCCGGAGAAAAGCAAGAGCUGCAAACCCGUCUUAUAAUGUACUCAUUCAAUUAAUCAAGUGAGAGCAAAUCAAACCUUUCCAGGCAAUUUUGUUUGAAGUGUCUGCACUCUUCUCUGCAUCAUAUGAGGUGCCAACACCAGUGGGAGUUUGCCUGCGGCCAUCAUCUUUCUGGAAGGGUCUUUCUGCAGAGUGCAUGUUAAACUAUGCUUUUGAAAGAACGGGACAACUUGCAGUAGAAGGAAACAAAACAUUCAUAUCACAGACAUUGGAAUACUUUUGAUGGAUCUCACAUUCAGGCUUUGGCUGGAAGGCAAUUUUUAAAGAAGCAACUAGUUAAACUUGAAAUACUUCUAUUUCCUCAUAAGAUUUACUUCUCCUUAAUCUGUAACUCUUCAUAGUGAGUUUCUAUAACCAUCAAUAUGACAGAACUGCAAUAUUGCCUCAUCUGUCAUGAUUUACUUAAUGUUUUCUGAAUUUAGUAAUAUUUGAUUAAAAUUUAAUGUGAACAUAUCAUGUCAUGCCACAUAUAUUAUUGCAUCCAUUAAUCAGGUAACCAUAAUAAUGAAAUGUCGGAAGAUUGGAUGAAAAAAGAGCUGAAGUCUUUGAUAUAUGUUUGGCAUGGUUUUGUGAGUGAUUAACAAAAAGAUAUCCAGUCAAUUGUGUAAAGCUUCAUUAAUAUACAUUUACAAUCAUCUAUGUACUGUAUCAUCAGAUAUUUUUAACCUUAGUUAAACUUGAUUUUUUAAUUUACGGAACGACACUAAAUAUUAAUAAUGCUGAAAAAUACGUAGUAUUCUAUUAACUCUCAUAAUGCCAGAAUGAUUCAUAAUGUGUCUUAAUGCUUUUGUAACAAAAUACGUACUGAAAAUAUUGUCAGACUUAAUGGAUCAGUUUUGUUAUAGGUGGAAAAACAAAUGCUUUAUGCAUGGCUCUAUAAGCCUCAAAUUACAUGAUCGUAUUAAAAUGAAUGUAAGGCAAUAUUUCCAUCUACUUUUUUUAAUAUAUAAAGGUAAUGUAUGGCCUAAUUUAGCAGAGCAUCUAUUCCAGCUUUGGAGAUAAUGUGUUGAAGAGAGUAAGACUUCAGUUAGGGCUCAAAAGUAUUUUGAUAAACAUUUGAAGACUU